rnacentral:rRNA from 1 species
UACGGAGGGUGCAAACGUUGCUCGGAAUCAUUGGGCGUAAAGCGCACGUAGGCGGCCUGAUAAGUCGGGUGUGAAAGCCCUCGGCUCAACUGAGGAAGUGCACCCGAAACCGGCGAGCUUGAGUACGAAAGAGGAUCGCGGAAUUCCCGGUGUAGAGGUGAAAUUCGUAGAUAUCGGGAGGAACACCGGUGGCGAAGGCGGCGAUCUGGGUCGAUACUGACGCUGAGGUGCGAAAGCGUGGGGAGCAAACAGG